CCUGGUGGCUCUGAUGGUAAAGUGUCUGCCUGCAAUGCAGGAAACCCAGGUUCGAUCCCUGUGUCAGGA
rnacentral:tRNA from 1 species